UGGAGUUCUACGGUCACUGGAGUAUGGAGUUCUAUUGUCGAACAUUUUUUUUUAAAUAUUUAAAAAGGAGUUCUUAUUUCUUUGGAAUUCUAUUUUCGCUGGAGUUCUACUGUCGCACACCAAGAAAUUUUUAGUAAAUGAUCCAGUCAGUUCACCAGCAGCAGCUGCUAGUCCUGGCAAAAAGCCAAAAUUAACGUAAAAGAAACAUCAACAACUUAUCAUUUCAGGAGACCACAACAGAUCUGCACAUCACACAGAGAAGUUUGCAGUCAGCAAACCUAAUAACUCAAUUCUCUGACUUCAGAAGUUGCAGACGGUGAGGUGUUGAGAGAUCUCAGAUCUGCCAAUUGACCAGGACUUGUGUUCAUCACCAAAUUAUUUCAUGUUAUGGCGCGAAUGGGUCCGUUAGUGACGAAAUUUCUGCCAUUUCUUCUAAAGACACUGAGCGGAAAGCCAGGUGAAGUCUGCGCUUCUUUGUUGCAGUCUAAUGUGCACAUGGAUUGGUUGCAGUCAUCCAGUGAGAGGUGUGAUUAAAUUGAGCUGUUGCAUGCAGUCUUUGGUGCUGAUGUUGUCCUGGAGUGUGGGAGAAUUCCAUGCUUCAAGUCUUCUGGGAUCAGCCAUAUCUGAGUUGACGCUGGAUCAUGCUGCAUUGUGGUUGCCAAAAUGUUGGGCAUAUAGUAGAACUGCAAGAAGACUCCUUGAAAUGGUUUAUGUUUACGUAGCAGUGAUGCUGCUGUCCAAUAUGGCAUGUUGUUGCAGCCUAUACU
rnacentral:lncRNA from 1 species